UGCCGAGGCCCCUCCCGCUCCGUGUCCCCGUGCCCGCUGUCCCCCGUGGCGGCUUCCGGGAAUUGUGUGUGCGUGUGUGUAUUUAUUGAGCAGGCCUGCCCUGGGUCUGUGCCCUCGUGUCUUCUCACUGCCUCUGGGGUGUGGGGUUCGCAGCACUCCCCUGUGCCCUGCUGUGGUGGGACACCCCCGUCCUCCACCCCCGGCCCCUUCUCCCUCCUGAGCGUCCAUUCCCCCGGAGAAGGUCCUCAGGGGAGGAGACGGAAGGUAAGAAUCCCCGGGAACCUCUUGGGCCGAGGGAUCAUGCUGUUCCUUACAUGCAUGUCUUUCUGGCUGCUAUCCGGGUUGGAAAUGGCAAGUAAUCACGGUGGUUUGGGCAAGUGGUUCAUCAGCUUCCAUCCCUGUAAAACCCACCUGCAUCCAUUAAAGGAUUGUUAACAUCUUA